rnacentral:rRNA from 1 species
UACGUAGGGGGCAAGCGUUGUCCGGAUUUAUUGGGCGUAAAGAGCGUGUAGGCGGCCAGGUAGGUCCGUUGUGAAAACUCGAGGCUCAACCUCGAGACGUCGGCGGAAACUCUCUGGCUAGAGUCCGGAAGAGGAGAGUGGAAUUCCUGGUGUAGCGGUGAAAUGCGCAGAUAUCAGGAAGAACACCCGUGGCGAAGGCGGCUCUCUGGGACGGUACUGACGCUGAGACGCGAAAGCGUGGGGAGCAAACAGG